rnacentral:sRNA from 1 species
UCCGACACGUAAGAUAAGGGAAUUCGGACGUUAUCCGGAGGUGUUGAAGACCUCAGUUAUCUCAUGAGGGAUCCUGAAUCCGGAUACAGAAUACCCACCUGGUUAUGCAGGG